GCGGGCGUGGCGGAACUGGCAGACGCGGCGGGUUUAGGUCCCGCUGGACUUCGGUCCUUGGAGGUUCGAGUCCUCCCGCCCGCA
rfam:Actinobacteria bacterium RBG_16_68_12 RBG_16_scaffold_81158, whole genome shotgun sequence.